AAGAGUUUGAUCAUGGCUCAGAUUGAACGCUGGCGGCAGGCCUAACACAUGCAAGUCGAACGGUAACAGGAAGCAGCUUGCUGCUUCGCUGACGAGUGGCGGACGGGUGAGUAAUGUCUGGGAAACUGCCUGAUGGAGGGGGAUAACUACUGGAAACGGUGGCUAAUACCGCAUAACGUCGCAAGACCAAAGAGGGGGACCUUCGGGCCUCUUGCCAUCAGAUGUGCCCAGAUGGGAUUAGCUUGUUGGUGAGGUAACGGCUCACCAAGGCGACGAUCCCUAGCUGGUCUGAGAGGAUGACCAGCCACACUGGAACUGAGACACGGUCCAGACUCCUACGGGAGGCAGCAGUGGGGAAUAUUGCACAAUGGGCGCAAGCCUGAUGCAGCCAUGCCGCGUGUAUGAAGAAGGCCUUCGGGUUGUAAAGUACUUUCAGCGGGGAGGAAGGUGUUGCGGUUAAUAACCGCAGCAAUUGACGUUACCCGCAGAAGAAGCACCGGCUAACUCCGUGCCAGCAGCCGCGGUAAUACGGAGGGUGCAAGCGUUAAUCGGAAUUACUGGGCGUAAAGCGCACGCAGGCGGUCUGUCAAGUCGGAUGUGAAAUCCCCGGGCUCAACCUGGGAACUGCAUUCGAAACUGGCAGGCUUGAGUCUUGUAGAGGGGGGUAGAAUUCCAGGUGUAGCGGUGAAAUGCGUAGAGAUCUGGAGGAAUACCGGUGGCGAAGGCGGCCCCCUGGACAAAGACUGACGCUCAGGUGCGAAAGCGUGGGGAGCAAACAGGAUUAGAUACCCUGGUAGUCCACGCCGUAAACGAUGUCUACUUGGAGGUUGUGCCCUUGAGGCGUGGCUUCCGGAGCUAACGCGUUAAGUAGACCGCCUGGGGAGUACGGCCGCAAGGUUAAAACUCAAAUGAAUUGACGGGGGCCCGCACAAGCGGUGGAGCAUGUGGUUUAAUUCGAUGCAACGCGAAGAACCUUACCUGGUCUUGACAUCCACAGAAGAAUCCAGAGAUGGAUUUGUG
rnacentral:rRNA from 1 species